rnacentral:rRNA from 1 species
GUACUUGUACCGACUGGAUGAGCAGCGAACGGGUGAGUAACGCGUGGGGAAUCUGCCUUUGAGCGGGGGACAACAUUUGGAAACGAAUGCUAAUACCGCAUAAAAACUUUAAACACAAGUUUUAAGUUUGAAAGAUGCAAUUGCAUCACUCAAAGAUGAUCCCGCGUUGUAUUAGCUAGUUGGUGAGGUAAAGGCUCACCAAGGCGAUGAUACAUAGCCGACCUGAGAGGGUGAUCGGCCACAUUGGGACUGAGACACGGCCCAAACUCCUACGGGAGGCAGCAGUAGGGAAUCUUCGGCAAUGGACGAAAGUCUGACCGAGCAACGCCGCGUGAGUGAAGAAGGUUUUCGGAUCGUAAAACUCUGUUGGUAGAGAAGAACGUUGGUGAGAGUGGAAAGCUCAUCAAGUGACGGUAACUACCCAGAAAGGGACGGCUAACUACGUGCCAGCAGCCGCGGUAAUACGUAGGUCCCGAGCGUUGUCCGGAUUUAUUGGGCGUAAAGCGAGCGCAGGUGGUUUAUUAAGUCUGGUGUAAAAGGCAGUGGCUCAACCAUUGUAUGCAUUGGAAACUGGUAGACUUGAGUGCAGGAGAGGAGAGUGGAAUUCCAUGGGUUAGC